rnacentral:rRNA from 1 species
UACGGGGGGGGCAAGCGUUGUUCGGAAUUACUGGGCGUAAAGGGCGCGUAGGCGGCCUUCUAAGUCGGACGUGAAAUUCCUCGGCUCAACCGAGGAACUGCGUCCGAUACUGAAAGGCUUGAAUCCGGGAGAGGGAUGUGGAAUUCCAGGUGUAGCGGUGAAAUGCGUAGAUAUCUGGAGGAACACCGGUGGCGAAGGCGGCAUCCUGGACCGACACUGACGCUGAGGCGCGAAAGCGUGGGGAGCAAACAGG